rnacentral:rRNA from 1 species
UACGGGGGGAGCAAGCGUUGUUCGGAUUUACUGGGCGUAAAGGGCGCGUAGGCGGCCAGCACAAGUCAGUUGUGAAAUCUCCGAGCUUAACUCGGAAAGGUCAACUGAUACUGCGCGGCUCGAGUGCGGCAGAGGAGACUGGAAUUCCUGGUGUAGCAGUGAAAUGCGUAGAUAUCAGGAGGAACACCGAUGGCGAAGGCAGGUCUCUGGGCUGACACUGACGCUCAUGCACGAAAGCGUGGGGAGCAAACAGG